GAUGAACGCUGGCGGCGUGCUUAACACAUGCAAGUCGAACGAAGCACUUUAUUUGUUUUCCUUCGGGACUGAUUAUUUUGUGACUGAGUGGCGGACGGGUGAGUAACGCGUGGGUAACCUGCCUUGUACAGGGGGAUAACAGUUGGAAACGGCUGCUAAUACCGCAUAAGCGCACGGCAUCGCAUGAUGCAGUGUGAAAAACUCCGGUGGUAUAAGAUGGACCCGCGUUGGAUUAGCUAGUUGGUGAGGUAACGGCCCACCAAGGCGACGAUCCAUAGCCGACCUGAGAGGGUGACCGGCCACAUUGGGACUGAGACACGGCCCAAACUCCUACGGGAGGCAGCAGUGGGGAAUAUUGCACAAUGGGCGAAAGCCUGAUGCAGCGACGCCGCGUGAGCGAAGAAGUAUUUCGGUAUGUAAAGCUCUAUCAGCAGGGAAGAUAAUGACGGUACCUGACGAAGAAGCACCGGCUAAAUACGUG
rnacentral:rRNA from 1 species